CCUACGGGGGCAGAAGUGAGGAAGAGUGGGCAAGGGACGCAAGUCGGAACCAGACAAGUAGAGUGAAGGAGGACGGCCCUCCGGGGUGGAAACUGCGUUUAGUGGGGAAGAAAAGGGGGCUCGGGAGCCCCGUAUGGGAGGUACCAGCAGAAAAAGGACCGGCUAAUUCCGUGCCAGCAGCCGCGGUAAUACGGAAGGUCCGGGCGUGAUCCGGAUUGAUUGGGUUUAAAGGGAGCGUAGGCCGGCUUUUAAGUCCGCGGUGAAAGUCCGCGGCUCACCCGUGGAAUGGCAGUUGAAACGGGAGGCCUUGAGUGCACACAGGGCUGCCGGAAUUCAUGGUGUAGCGGU
rnacentral:rRNA from 1 species